rnacentral:rRNA from 1 species
CCUACGGGGGGCUGCAGUGGGGGAUAUUGCACAAUGGGGGGAACCCUGAUGCAGCGACGCCGCGUGGGUGAAGAAGCGCCUCGGCGCGUAAAGCCCUGUCAGCAGGGAAGAAAAUGACGGUACCUGAAGAAGAAGCCCCGGCUAACUACGUGCCAGCAGCCGCGGUAAUAGGUAGGGGGGCAGCGUUAUCCGGAUUUACUGGGGGUAAAGGGGGCGCUGAUGGGAAUGCAAGCCAGGAGUGAAGGCCCGGGGCCCAACCCCGGGACUGCUCUUGGAACUGCGGGGCUGGAGUGCAGGAGGGGCAGGCGGAAUGCCUGGUGUAGCGGUGAAAUGCGUAGAUAUCAGGAGGAACACCGGUGGCGAAGGCGGCCUGCUGGACUGCAACUGACGUUGAGGCCCGAAAGCGUGGGGAGCAAACAGGAUUAGAUACCCUAGUAGUC